UGGGGAAUAUUGGACAAUGGGCGCAAGCCUGAUCCAGCCAUGCCGCGUGAGUGAUGAAGGCCCUAGGGUUGUAAAGCUCUUUCACCGGUGAAGAUAAUGACGGUAACCGGAGAAGAAGCCCCGGCUAACUUCGUGCCAGCAGCCGCGGUAAUACGAAGGGGGCUAGCGUUGUUCGGAUUUACUGGGCGUAAAGCGCACGUAGGCGGACUAUUAAGUCAGGGGUGAAAUCCCGGGGCUCAACCCCGGAACUGCCUUUGAUACUGGUAGUCUUGAGUUCGAGAGAGGUGAGUGGAAUUCCGGGUGUAGAGAUGAAAUUCGUAGAUAUUCGGGGGAACACCAGUGGCGAAGGCGGCUCACUGGACCAUUACUGACGCUGAGGUGCGAAAGCGUGGGGAGCAAACAGG
rnacentral:rRNA from 1 species